rnacentral:rRNA from 1 species
UACGGGGGGGGCAAGCGUUGUUCGGAAUUACUGGGCGUAAAGGGCUCGUAGGCGGCCAACUAAGUCAGACGUGAAAUCCCUCGGCUUAACCGGGGAACUGCGUCUGAUACUGGAUGGCUUGAAUCCGGGAGAGGGAUGCGGAAUUCCAGGUGUAGCGGUGAAAUGCGUAGAUAUCUGGAGGAACACCUGUGGCGAAAGCGGCUCACUGGACCAUAACUGACGCUGAUGCACGAAAGCUGGGGGAGCAAACAGG